GAAAAGCUGCGGGGAGCUGGCAAACGAGCUUUGAUCCGCAGAUAUCUGAAUGGGGGAACCCACACCGCAAGGUGUAUCCGUAGCUGAAUACAUAGGUUACGGAGGCGAACGAGGAGAACUGAAACAUCUAAGUAUCCUCAGGAAAAGAAAUCAACCGAGAUUCCGGCAGUAGCGGCGAGCGAACCCGGAGGAGCCUAGCUUUUGAUAGUACGAACUUUAGCCGAAAGGUCCUGGAAAGGCCUGCUAUAGUGGGUGAUAGCCCCGUAGGCGAAAGAGUUGGUACGGUACUAAGGAAGCGAGAAGUAGAGCGGGACACGUGGAAUCCUGUUCGAAGACGGGGGGACCAUCCUCCAAGGCUAAAUACUCGUGAUCGACCGAUAGUGAACCAGUACCGUGAGGGAAAGGCGAAAAGAACCCCGGGAGGGGAGUGAAAUAGAACCUGAAACCGCAUGCAUACAAACAGUAGGAGCCUCGUCAGAGGUGACUGCGUACCUUUUGCAUAAUGGGUCAGCGACUUACGUUUAGCGGCAAGCUUAACCGAUUAGGGGAGGCGCAGCGAAAGCGAGUUCGAACAGAGCGACUGAGUCGUUAGGCGUAGACCCGAAACCAGAUGAUCUAUCCAUGGCCAGGUUGAAGGUGUGGUAACACACACUGGAGGACCGAACCGACUAGUGUUGCAAAAUUAGCGGAUGAGCUGUGGAUAGGGGUGAAAGGCUAAACAAAUCUGGAGAUAGCUGGUUCUCCCCGAAAACUAUUGAGGUAGUGCCUCGUGUGUCGCUCCAGGGGGUAGAGCACUGUUUUGGCUAGGGGGACAUGGAGUCUUACCAAACCAAGGCAAACUCCGAAUACCUGGAAGCGUAAGCACGGGAGACAGAGCACCGGGUGCUAACGUCCGGACUCAAAAGGGAAACAACCCAGACCGCCGGCUAAGGUCCCAAAUAACAGCUAAGUGGAAAACGAAGUGGAAAGGCCGUGACAACCAGGAAGUUGGCUUAGAAGCAGCCAUCCUUCAAAGAAAGCGUAAUAGCUCACUGGUCGAGUCCUUCUGCGCGGAAGAUGUAACGGGGCUAAGCUGUUAACCGAAGCCGCGGAUGCGCUGGUUAUCCAGUGCGUGGUAGGGGAGCGUUCUGUAAGUCUGCGAAGGCGGUUCGAGAGGACUGCUGGAGAUAUCAGAAGUGCGAAUGCUGACAUGAGUAACGUUAAAGCAGGUGAAAAGCCUGCUCGCCGUAAGCCCAAGGUUUCCUGCUCUACGUUCAUCGGAGCAGGGUGAGUCGGCCCCUAAGGCGAGGCUGAGAAGCGUAGCUGAUGGGAACAAGGUUAAUAUUCCUUGACCGCCGUUGAGUGCGAAGGGGGGACGGAGUGUUGAAGAUCAUCCGGGUGUUGGAUGUCCCGGUUUGUGAACGUAGGAGGCCGGCAGGCAAAUCCGCCGGCGUAUCUCCGAGGUGAAGCAUCGAGGUCCGUAUGGACCGAAGUGAUCGGAUGGGCUCCCAGGAAAAGCCUCUAAGCUCCAGCUCAACGGGACCGUACCGCAAACCGACACUGGUGGGCGAGCUGAAUAUGCUCAGGCGCUUGAGAGAACUCGGGAGAAGGAACUCGGCAAAUUGACACCGUAACUUCGGGAUAAGGUGUGCCUCGGUAGCGUGAAGGAAGAAACAUCCGGAGCGUGAAGAGGUCUCAGAGAAUCGGUGGCUGCGACUGUUUACUAAAAACACAGCACUCUGCAAAGACGAAAGUCGACGUAUAGGGUGUGAUGCCUGCCCGGUGCUGGAAGAUUAAUUGAUGGGGUGCAAGCUCCUGAUCGAAGUCCCAGUAAACGGCGGCCGUAACUAUAACGGUCCUAAGGUAGCGAAAUUCCUUGUC
rnacentral:rRNA from 1 species